rnacentral:rRNA from 1 species
CCUACGGCGUGCUGCAGUGGGGAAUAUUGGACAAUGGGCGAAAGCCUGAUCCAGCCAUGCCGCGUGUGUGAAGAAGGCCUUCGGGUUGUAAAGCACUUUCAGUGGGGAAGAAAGCCUUGGGGCUAAUACCCUCGAGGAAGGACAUCACCCACAGAAGAAGCACCGGCUAACUCCGUGCCAGCAGCCGCGGUAAUACGGAGGGUGCGAGCGUUAAUCGGAAUUACUGGGCGGAAAGCGCGCGUAGGCGGUCUGAUAAGCCGGUUGUGAAAGCCCCGGGCUCAACCUGGGAACGGCAUCCGGAACUGUCAGGCUAGAGUGCAGGAGAGGAAGGUAGAAUUCCCGGUGUAGCGGUGAAAUGCGUAGAGAUCGGGAGGAAUACCAGUGGCGAAGGCGGCCUUCUGGACUGACACUGACGCUGAGGUGCGAAAGCGUGGGUAGCAAACAGGAUUAGAUACCCUAGUAGUC